rnacentral:tRNA from 1 species
GGUCUGGUAGUUCAGUUGGUUAGAAUGCCUGCCUGUCACGUAGGAGGUCGCGGGUUCGAGUCCCGUCCAGACCGC